GCGAACGGGUGAGUAAUAUAUCGGAACGUGCCCUAGAGUGGGGGAUAACUAGUCGAAAGACUAGCUAAUACCGCAUACGAUCUAAGGAUGAAAGUGGGGGAUCGCAAGACCUCAUGCUCGUGGAGCGGCCGAUAUCUGAUUAGCUAGUUGGUGGGGUAAAAGCCUACCAAGGCAACGAUCAGUAGCUGGUCUGAGAGGACGACCAGCCACACUGGGACUGAGACACGGCCCAGACUCCUACGGGAGGCAGCAGUGGGGAAUUUUGGACAAUGGGGGCAACCCUGAUCCAGCAAUGCCGCGUGAGUGAAGAAGGCCUUCGGGUUGUAAAGCUCUUUUGUCAGGGAAGAAACGGUUCUGGAUAAUACCUGGGACUAAUGACGGUACCUGAAGAAUAAGCACCGGCUAACUACGUGCCAGCAGCCGCGGUAAUACGUAGGGUGCAAGCGUUAAUCGGAAUUACUGGGCGUAAAGCGUGCGCAGGCGGUUGUGUAAGUCAGAUGUGAAAUCCCCGGGCUCAACCUGGGAAUUGCAUUUGAGACUGCACGGCUAGAGUGUGUCAGAGGGGGGUAGAAUUCCACGUGUAGCAGUGAAAUGCGUAGAUAUGUGGAG
rnacentral:rRNA from 1 species